UAUGAGUGGGCAGGUUGAAAAUUGUUUAGUCACCCCAAGACCGGAUACUAAAAGCCACUGGUACAAUGUACCACAGGCUGGCAUAUCACUCAGCCAGAGCUUCGCUUUAACUGAGUGGAGGCUCAGUUCACAAAGACUGGCAAUAAAAGAGCUGCAAGAAAACCAUUAUGCAGAAAAAAAAGAGAAGAGAAGAGAAGAGAAGAGAAGAGAAGAGAAGAGAAGAGAAGAGAAGAAAGAAGCACUGACCUAUUAAAAAGGAAGAAAACUGGCUUGUGCUGGAUGGCGCGUCCCCUGAGGUUUGGACACAUCGACUACAGAACACAGAAGAGCAGAGAGCCAGGAAACCCAGGAGUAAGCACAGCUGGAGUCUGUAAAGUUCUCCCUUCUUUGAUUCAGAGAGAAACAAGUAAGCAGUUGCCCUACUGCUCCAGCUGUUCGUUUCUGUUGUCUGGAAUGUAUAAUAAACGGAGUUCUAAAAACCA